CUUUGUUCCCAUGUUCUGCAUGGUAUGAAGUGUAACAAGGGUGAGGGGUUUAGUGGGGGAGCAUAAUAUGCUUCCGGCACAUACCUAAUCUCCUCCAUGCUCUCCUGUCAUAUCUGGACAGAAUGCGUAGAGAUUUUACGGCUUUAGGGACACGGAAGCAAUGGAAAGUUACAGAUUAUUGCCAUCGGGGCUUGCAUUGUAUGCCUGAAAUCUCCUGCUGGUUUCCUGCGAGGUGACCGGACAGGGAUGACAGCACAUAGACCUUUUGGGAGGUCUGAAAUUGCUCGGACCCAACUAGCUAGAUCUGGACAUUCUUGGAAUAUGACUGUGCGGUGGUAACAUGGGAUGGGAGGACUGUUUGUUUAGUACCUUCAGUCUUGUGACUUUACCAUGUUUACAGUGCAGCUCUGCAAUUUUGCACAUAAAAGAGAGGGUGAACUCCCUCAUCUCAAUACUCCCAACAUUGAGGGCUUUUACUGUCUUUACAAACUGUUUGUUUGUCGAUGGCUUCUCCCAUCUCAACAAGCCUGUUUUCUAAGUCCAGGGGUGAUGCAUGCUUGGACAGAUGCAUGUCCAAGUGUGAGCCAGCUGCCAGGUUUCAGUGACCUCUGUCUGGUGUUAACAGAGCUUUGACAUGGCCAUGGAAAUGGUCGUUCAUGGGUGGAUGAGUGACAGCAGUGGUUUUCAGCUCACAGCGGUGGUCAGAGCUGCCUGGAAUAGCACACCCAUGUGAUCAACAGUCUAUUUGUAGGUGUGUGUACAGAGCGGGCUGCACUUACACGGGUGUCUCAAGAGAAGAGUGCAGUGAGGGGUCUGCUCUCUCGCUCUGUCGCACGCUCGUUGUCUAUGCCGGUGAAGUUUCACAGGUACUUUCAUUAUUCUGUUAGGCCUGUCUCUGAGCUCGGACCUCCAACGCGUCCAAGAGAAGUACCAUGGUUUUGAAGAAGCUGGCAGUCCUGGGGAAGCAGCUCCUGCGAGUGAAGGUGGUGGACUGCAGCAAUGAAGACACGCGCCUCUCACGCUGCCUCAACACCUUCGACCUGGUGGCGCUGGGCGUGGGCAGCACUCUGGGAGCAGGGGUCUACGUGCUGGCAGGCGCUGUGGCACGGGACAACGCCGGUCCUGCCAUCGUCAUCUCUUUCCUCGUUGCUGCGGCAGCGUCCGUGCUGGCUGGCCUGUGCUAUGCAGAGUUUGGCGCCCGUGUACCCAAGACUGGCUCUGCAUAUUUGUACAGCUAUGUGACGGUGGGCGAACUCUGGGCCUUCAUCACAGGAUGGAACCUCAUCCUCUCCUACAUCAUUGGGACGUCCAGCGUGGCACGUGCCUGGAGUGCCACAUUUGACGAGCUCAUUGGGAAUCACAUUGAGCAGUUUUGUCGUACCUACCUGAGCAUGCACGUGCCAGGCGUCCUUGCAGAGUACCCUGAUAUGUUUGCUGUGCUCAUCAUCCUCACGCUGACAGGUUUGCUGGCCUUUGGGGUGAAGGAGUCUGCUAUGGUCAAUAAGGUGUUCACCUGCAUCAAUGUCCUGGUGCUGCUCUUCAUGGUGGUGUCGGGCUUGGUCAAGGGCACACUCAAGAACUGGAACCUGGACCCCAGUGACAUUUUUCAUCCUGGAAUAAUGAGCCUUGGAGUAGGAGGUUUUAUGCCCUUUGGCUUCACUGGAGUGCUGUCAGGUGCUGCUACCUGCUUCUAUGCCUUUGUGGGCUUCGACUGCAUUGCCACCACAGGGGAGGAGGUGAAAAACCCCCAGCGGGCCAUCCCCAUUGGCAUAGUUGCCUCACUCCUCAUCUGCUUUGUGGCCUACUUUGGCGUGUCAGCCGCCCUCACCAUGAUGAUGCCCUACUACCUGCUGGACAAGAUGAGCCCAUUGCCUGUGGCCUUCAAGUAUGUGGGCUGGGAGGGGGCCACCUAUGCAGUGGCAGUGGGUUCACUUUGCGCCCUGUCCACCAGUCUCCUGGGCUCCAUGUUCCCCCUUCCACGCAUUAUCUUUGCCAUGGCGCGCGACGGUCUGCUCUUCUCGUUUCUGGCACGGGUGAGCGAGAGGAAGACUCCCAUCGUCUCUACCAUGGCCGCAGGGUUCAUGUCUGCGGUGAUGGCCUUUCUGUUUGACCUCAAGGACCUGGUGGAUCUCAUGUCUAUUGGCACACUAUUGGCAUACACUCUGGUGGCAGCCUGUGUCCUGGUCCUCCGGUACCAGCCGGAGCAGCCCAUCCAGCUGUACCAGAUGGCCAACACACAAGAUGAGAUGGAACUCAGCGAGUCCAUCGGCACCCUCAGCAUGGGCAUUCUUCCAGGCAUGGAAGAGCGCCUCAGCUUGAAGAACGUGUUCUUUCCUGAAAACCCAGAACCCUCAAAACUGUCUAGCUUUGUUGUCAAUGUCAGCACCAGCAUACUAGGAUUCCUCAUUGUUGUAUUUAGUGUACUAGCAGUUCAAGGAGGGCUUGCACUUUGGAAUGUGAUACUCCUGAGUGUUCUGGUUGUAACCUGCCUGGGCCUCACGCUGGUCAUCUGGAGACAGCCAGAGAGCAGGACGAAGCUGUCUUUUAAGGUCCCCCUGCUGCCUUUCAUCCCAGUGAUCAGCAUGUUUGCCAACGUGUACCUUAUGAUGCAGCUUGACAGGGGUACCUGGAUCCGCUUUGCUGUAUGGAUGGCUAUAGGCCUGGUGAUCUACUUCACCUACGGGAUUUGGCACAGUACAGAAGCUAUUAUGGCCCGUUCCAGUGUUGAGGUCAACCUCAAUGGCUACAAGCCCGCCAGUACUACGGAGAAUCCUAUAGCCCCUGAGAAAGCGGCUUUUCUUGGUGUGGGGAGCGAAGAUGACGGGGAUCUCUAAGGAUCCUGGGGCACUGCCAGCUCCCUGAUUUCCCCCCAUCUAACUUUCUUGUAUUUUGAAAGCAAAUUGUGAUGCUUGAAUGACAUGUUUCAGUCAAAAAAGAGAUUACGGGCAAAUCAAAGGGAACCCAGGCUAACUGAGUUCGGACCGGCCCAAAUCAAAAAAAACACAAUAUUUCAUUUAUUUAUUUUUUGUUUUGUUUUAUGUGGAGAGCAUUUUGCAGUUGCAAAUAAGCUGUCUGUUUUGUUGUUAAUUUUAGAAUGGCAAAUGGAUUACAGCACUCUAGUAUGCAUUAAUAUACAGGUGGUCCUUGACGUACGAUGGGGUUACGUUCCAUGAAACCCAUCAUAAGUCAAAAAUAUUGUAAGUCGAAAAUGCAUUUAAUACACCUGACCUACCGAACAUCAUAGCCUAGCAUACAUGCGAUGGCCAUUACAGGCUUGCCACCUUUAUGCUGGGCACCCUCCUCCUCCUCUUCCCACCAGUAGCAGGAGACACAGAUAGGCAUUUCUGUGACAUUAUGGAUGCACAAAACACAACGUAUAUACCAGGGGGUAUCUGUAUAGCAACCAUGUGACAGACUGGGAGAUGCAGAUUGCUGCCGUUUUCCAGCAUUACAAGAGUAUCGCACUGCAUAUCACUUGCCUGGGGAAAAAGAAAAAAAAUCUAAAUUCAAAGUAUGGUUUCUACUGAACUUCUAUUGCCAGCUCACCAUCGUAAAGUCAAAAAAUCGUAAAUUGGACCAUUGUAAGUCAAGGAGCAUCUGUACGCAGACAUGCAGUUUCUGUUUCUUGGCUGUUAAUUAGGUCCAUUUGCCUUUCUAUUUUGGAAUUCAGUUGACAAAUGUUGCAUAAUUAUUUUAAAGGGCCUUUCUGUCCUCAACUGGCUCAAGAUUCAUCUUUGUGAUUAAAAGCUAUUUCUAGCAAUAGCUGGCUUUUUUUGGGUAGACAACAGUACGGGUUGUUGAAAUGCCUCAGUUCAGUUGGUGUUCUAUGCCAGUAGGGGACCCAAAAAAUAGCACAGAGUGAGCAAUGAUUGUAUUACAUCAAUAAUCAGGUACUGUGUGCCAACCCUGAGGAACCUCAAGUUCAUAACUACAAACAGCUCUUGGGCUGCUAUACUGUUAACUGUAUCAGGGAACGGCUCAUUUUUCACAAGAGACUUUUAUGCUUCAAAGUGCAAUUUUUUUUUAAAGACUACUGAAUGUGACACCUGUCAUUUCUCAUUGAAGAACCGACUGUACAACAUAACAGGUUACUUCAUUUGCAUUAUCUGAGGGCUGACCUGUAAUGUGAGAAUGCAGCUGUGAUGUACUAGUAAAUUAGUAAACCAGUUCUUUGUCUUUGAGUAUUGAAAUGUUAGUGAAAUACAGGCCGUGUGAAUGGAAAGGUUCCCAGCGAACAUUGUUGUAGUAUUUUCACUAUUGCACAGCACUAUGCAGUCUCCCACAUAGAAGUUUAACUCUGAUAGUAGCUAACAGGACAUUUUGUACUGGGAUUACAGUGCUGGUAAUUGUGUCUCAGCUGAAUCAAAUUAAUUUUAUGAUCUGCUAUCCCUUAAAACACAAAUAUGAAAUAUAUUUAAAAAGUUAUACUCUAGAUUUGGAUAUAGAAAAGAAUAGUCUAUUUUAUAAUAAAACCAUAAACUUUAUAUUCA
ensembl:lncRNA